AUUGAAUACAAGUUAUGUAGCUAUGGCUGUAAAAUCAUGAAAAUGUGGGGUCUUAUAAGGCACCAGAUAUUGAAAAGGGUUCAUAUCUUAACGUAUACUGAAAGUAAAAAAGAGUUUUGUUAAUAACACGGUAUAUUGUGAAUUGGGUAAAAUGCGUAUGUGUAUAGAGAGAGAAUAUAGAAUGGUAAAAUAUUGGAUAAAAUUAUAAUGUACUGAUAAUUGCAUAUUGAAAAAUAGUUAUGAUGUAAUAGAAAACCAAAUGAUAAGCUGAACUGGCGCUGUAAGAUUUAAGAUAUUUUGGUAAAUAUGGCUUUAACUUUACUUGGUUUAGUCAAAAGGUAGAUAAUGUAGACUUUUUUCUAAGACAAUUAAAAGUGAGAAUGGUUGAUACAUUUAUAUGCGAA
rnacentral:lncRNA from 1 species